rnacentral:misc_RNA from 1 species
GUUGUCGAGAAACAUACCUACACUGCCGAAGCCGCUUCAAUAGCACUGCCCAAAGGCCACGCUGCCUCCACAAAGGCAUUGCCAUACUUAACCUGCUUCACCAGGGUAAUCACCUGCCACGGCUCCAAGGCGAACCCAUCCACAAGCAGUGUGUACUGGUAGACAAGAUCCAUGCAGAGAUACGGAAUGUUGUCCUCAGAGACAUUAGGAUAGGCGGUCUUGAGAUCCUCGACAUUCGAUCUGCAGAUGCGCUUGGCAGCCUCCUCAAAGUCUGCAGGUUUGACCUUAGCAACCGG